CACAAAGGGAAAAAAAAAAGUCUUCAUAAGUGGAAGAAUUUUACAUGUUGAAAAAGUAUUUAUGUCCCUUGGAAAAAUUUGUGACCUAAUUUCUUAGCACUCCGGUUUGCUUUGGCUCUAUACAUAAGAACUCAAUUAUCCUACCAUGUACUACUUGGUCUGUAUGUUGAAUUGGUUAUUUUAUUUGUGACUGAACCUCAAUUUACUCUGUCUCCAGAUACUAUCACACUGCUAUGUGUAUAAGGAAUUUGAGGAAGAAAAGAUGCAAUUAAUUUCCAUUGAACUGAUUAUUUACCAAUGCUUAAAAAAAAUUGACACAGCCGGUUACAUGAUUUAUUGGCUUAUGUAAUUAUAUAUUUAUUGAAAUACAAAUUGAUUAAUGUUCUUUGCCUAAACUUUGAUUUUGUUUUAAUAGACUAAUUCCAAAUAAAAGUUUUGAUCAGUUUGAUGUAAUCCAAAGUAGAAAACAACUAAUGAGUAGGCCUCUUAAUGUUUUUAGGGCAGUUCCUGGAGUAUACAAUUUCCUUUCCUGCUCUACAUUCUAGAUGAAUGUAUCUGUUAGCGUAGUUGUAUAUGUGACACCUUGUAAUGGUGCAGCUAGAUUAAAAAUAAAGGAAUACAUUCAGCCCCUGCAAAUUUUUUGGCAUUACUGAGAAAAGGAAUCUUUAAUUAAUUAUGCUUCUUAGUUAAUAAAGUUACUAUACGAUAUAAAAUUUUCAAAGAAUUCUAAUGUAAUAAAAUAUACAGUAGUGCUACUAUAUGAACUGUAUCUUUCUAUCAUGAUUUUGAUAUUCACCUAAUGGAAUUCAAGUUUAGUUUUAUUUUAACUUAUGAAGUAUUUUAGUUGGUGGAAUGGACUGAAUUGUGUCCCCUUCAAAGUUCAUAUGUUGAAGCCCUAAUCCCUAAUGUGACUGUAUUUGGAAAUAGAGCCUAUAAAGAGGCAGUUGAAGUUAAAUGGGGUCAUAAAGGUGGGGCCUUAAUCCAAUAGGACUGGUGUCCUUAUGAGAAGAGGAAGAGACCCCAGGGAGACACAGCAAAAGCAUGUGUGCAGAAGCCCAUCUACAAGUCAAGCAGAGAUGCCGCAGGCGAAACCAGCUCUGCCAGCACCUUGAAUUUGGACUUCCAGCCUCCAGAACUGUGAGAAAGUGCAUUUCUGUUGCUUAAGCCACCCAGUCUGUGGCAUUUUGUUAUGGCAGCCCCAGCAAACUCAUAUAAUUGGAUACUGUUCUAUUUGUUAAAAUUUAAUGCCAAAAGUAAUUCACAUCCUGCUGUUUUUAGAACUACUAGCAGGCAUGAUUUUUCAUGAAGGUCAGUUGGAGACUUUAAAAAAAUUCAGUGGGGAAGAAAUUAUAAUAUAUUUUCCUUUAUCUGAGUUUCAUAUGUUGCUUUAUAUUAGAGCAGUAAAGAUUUUCCUCUUUACGAAUAAUUUGAUUUUAAUCUUACCACAAAUGUUUCGUUACAAAGCACUGAGAAAACAUAGGACAAGAUGGAAAAGUAAAACAUCAUUUCUUAUUCUACUAUGUAAAAAUAAUUACUCUGAAUAUUUUGCUAUAAGAAUAUCAAUAUAGUCAGUAAAAAAAGUGGAGGGAGUAAAUAUACACAUUAAUUUGUUUGGAUUUAAAAUUUAGCGUAUGGACAUUUCUGUGUCAUUAACUAUACUCACAUGUACAUACACUUUUUAGAAACUGAGGCAUCAAAUUCUAUUGUAUGAAUUUAACAUUCAUUAAUUUAACCAAUCUACUAUUACUGUAUAAUUAGAUUUUCAAAUAUUCUCUGAUAAAUAUGAUAAAUUUUCUAUGACAGAUAUUUUCAAAAAUUUAUGAUAAAUUUUCUAUGAGAGAUAUUUUCAAAAAUUAAGAGAUAAAUAUUUUCAGCUGUCUCUCUUCUUCAAAAGCCUUCUCUUCUACCUUCAAAAGAGGAGGGAUCCUUUUUGUUUAGGCAGUUCCAGGAAUGGGCUUGUGCUGUGUUGAUCCAGGAAAUGGAUGAAUUAGAGCACUGUGUAAGUCUAAAAGGCCAUAUUAAUUCAGGCCAGGAAGACAUGCAAGAAAGAAAAAAGCUGAGCUGAAAAGAUGGAGAAAAGAGCAUUUCCAGGUAGCAAGGAGGAGCACAGUCAGCACAGCCUCUCGGAGUCAUAACUGGACAUUGGGUUGACCAAUGUAACACCAACUGUAAUCACUGAUGGGCACUUUCAGGGCUCUCUGUGUGAUGACCAGACCUGCCAGCUUUGGCUGUUGCCAACAGUUGUGAUUUAUCUACAAUGCUUUGCACAUGGAUAUUUUUGUCACCGCAUAUUUUACAACAGCUGUGAUCCUGAUGGGGAUUUAGUUAACCAAAGGCCCUCUGCAUGCAAGCGGUCGCCAGGCAGCUAAUGGAUAGAGGGCUGCAACGACAAUAAAGUGAGCAGACCGACCGUGCAGCUGGGGACCAAAUGUAGGAUCAUAACUAGCAGUUGGCCAUUACGGGGUUAACUGCUGGUGUUCUGUUUCAGUUACCCAUUAUCAACAGCCAUCUGGACGCAGGUGAUCAUCCUUCUGACAAAUCAUCUGAAGGUCUUAGUUCCAAGAGGAAAAAUGCUUCUGUCAGAAGACCCAACUUGAUGUCAUUGAACUGGAAUUUAAGACUGCAACCUGACCACUUCAGGUUCCUUAUGCAUCUGAAUCAACAGGUGAAAAAUGGAGUUACUAUACUGACUGAGGUGAUUGAUCCUGAUUCCAAGGGGAAAUUGGACUGCCACUAUAAAAUGAAGGGGGAACCAAAUGACAAAUGACAAUGAAUAAAGAACCCUGAGCCGUGUAGGGUCCUCUCUCUCAGGCUUCCACUCUAUGAAGCCUCUCACCCCAGUGAGGCUUGCUCUGCUUCCCCUCUACUCAUCCAGCACUUAUUCUUCAGGAUUUCUGGAGCAAGAAGGUAAAGGUUAUUUCCACAUCCAGAACUCCUCCUUUGAGGUAACUUGGUCAUCUAUCUUUAGUGCUCUUAAUGCUUUCAGGUUCUCAUCACUCCACACACAUUGGGUGUGCACAUAUCGAAUGCACUUGCUAGUCUGUUCGGGGUUGUGGGGGCCAUGUGACAAGUGCUGGUCAGUGAGUUGUGAGUAGAAGUGAUGUGUGUCACUCUAGGGAUGUGAGCCCUAAUCAUUGCUGCAGACCUUUUUAGCAACCCCUUUUCUUUUGGGGAUGAUGAUGAGAAAAGUCCAAGUCCCUGAAUGACUGUGAUGAUCAGAAGCCCACUGCUCCAAUGAUGGACAUGUCAUGUAAGCAAGACAAAUAAACUGUUUGUUAUUUUAAGUCACUGAGAUCUGGCAGUUGUUUGCUACACAAGCAUGAGCUAGCCUAUCCUGAGUGACACAGUAUUAUAUAGUAUACUGUCAUAGUGGUGUGCUAGUGGCAUUUGCUUAAGUCUUUCUUAGGUUUGGAAUUCAUGGGAGUGACUCUUAAUGAUAGAAUUUCUGCCAUGGGAAAGGGAGCAUGGGAGCCCAUGCUGGGACAGAAUUGGGGCAAAUAGAACUUGUAUAUACAUCUGACAGCAACUGCCUACACAGCCCACCUGAAGACUUGGUUUUGAUAAUGGUUUAACUGACAGAUAUUUUUGAGUUUUCAUUUUUUGAUUGAGAAUGAAAGCAUAGGGUGUCAACUGCAGAUUGUAUUAGCCCCAAAUCUUUUCACUGCAUUUUCUUAACAUUUUGACUCUCAGACAUUACUUAAAAAUAAAGAAAGCUGGUGGAAGCCAUUGACUGCAGAAUCCACUAUUUAAUGCACAUGUUUGGGGAGGGUUUCUUUCCUUGCUAUCUUUAACAGAUGCAAUUAGUGUAAAAAGAAGUUAGAGGAAGCUACUUUGCAAUUAUCAAACAACUUAGAAAUAAAACCCCAGCACUCACACUGAUAGCAUUGCCAAAGCCUCCCUGAAAAAAGUUCCUGGAGCUUAAGUAGGAAAAAUGCAUUGUAAGAGUGAUGACAGCGCCUCACCAAUAAUUCUGUAAAAUAUGACUAAUAGUAUUGGAACAAGAAUAAAGAUUUUAGAUUUUAUUUUUUGUGGGGGGGAGGGAACACACACAAACACAAUGACUAGUCUUUGGUUAUAGACAAAUCAGAUCUAAUUUUUUAUUAUUAAAGUCAUCUACCUGCCAGAAACUCAAAAUCUUUUUAUGAACAGUUUUUCAAAGACACAGUCUAAUCUUUUCUUAAAUAAAGUGAGAUGUCAAAUCAGCAGAGAAUUAAGAUGUAUUUAUUAAAAAAAAAAAACUCAAGCAGAAGGGUAUCUGAUGUUUUACAGACAUUCCAACACCUUCAGGAAAUUUGAACUCACACCAAAGGGUCUGAUAGUCAUUUGAAUCUCCAUCUGUACCGGAACACAUGUGCACACACAAUGCACAUUGAAUCACUCCAGUGGAAAAAAAAAAAAAAGAAGAACCCUGGUCUUAAAGAAGUCGUCUACCACUCUUCUUAACCACAAAAUCUUUGGCAGCUGGAAACAGAGUGGCUAGAGUCAUCUGGUUAUAAAGCUUCCUUUGGUGCAAGAAGCCUCAAUGCUGAGCAAUGCGCCACUACUGCUCAAGGGACACAGUGACUGUAAACUAAAUGGCCUAGAAGAAAUCUAAGACUGAGGGACAAUUUUGGAAACUAAGGAGGAUUACUUGCUUUGAUUUGUCUCAGAUAGUUGCUUCUCAGUUUCUUCUAAGUUUAAUUAUUUGCUUCAUGUUGUCAAUUUGUAUCUAGAAUUUGAAUAUGCUAAAAUUAAUUUUCGUUUUUCUCUCUUGUAACCAAAAAUAUCCCUGCCAUUUCAAAUCCUUGAUCUGUAAGAACAAUGUUCUAGUAUACUGGGGGUCAAGUAAGUAGAAAUUUUAGAGGUUUCAUGUGGGUGAAUUCAUUAUCAGCUUGGUUGCAAUAUAUGUUAAAGGUUAAUCGCUACAAUUUAUUGUAAUUUUAUUGUACUGGGCAUGUGUUACCUAAUAUACAUCAUCUCAUUUAAUCUUUACAGGAAGCCUACUAUUAUUACUCACAUUCUACAGAUGAGAAAACUGAGUCUUUACAGUGUUACUACUUGUCCAAGCUCACGCAGCUUAGAAAUAGAAAACAGGAUCCAAACUCAGUCCUAACUCUUAACUUGUUGCCUUCUGCAAUACUCUUUACUCUUCUUCUUUUAUAAAAUGCUAGUUUCCUCUUGAAAAGAGCAUCUGUACAUCUUUGAAAAUGAUAAUUUGUGUUUCCAUGAGGAUUUCCAUUUGAAAAGAGAUACAGAUGGUUAAGUGCCUGCAAGCACAGAGUCUGGAGCCAGGACCACUGUCUUCCUAAUGGGGGUCCAUGAGUGAAUCAUGUGUAUUGCCUGUGUUUCCAUUCUGUGCCACAUAGUCUUGCCAGGGAAAUUUAUUUAUUUUUCGGACUUAGAAAGCCCUAACCAUGUCCAGCAGAUAAUAUGCAGAUGUAAGUGUUAUUAUUACAUGUAUCCAUAAAUAUUAUAUUCAUGUAUGUAAGUCAGCACCACAAGUAAGCUAUCCCAGCUCAGCCACCCAACUCACACAAAAAAGCCUUUCAAGAGGUUAAAUAGAAGCUUCACUGCAGCUGUGACUCAAAGAAGUCCAGGUCCAGAGCAGGACACAAUGAAAAAGUGACAUUGUGCCACAUGGCUCAUGAACUUUCACCUUAAACUCUGCCCACGUCCCCUCCCAAAAUUCAUUACAUAAUAGUCCCAUGCUGAACUUCAUCUCACAUUUCAACAGUUCCUUGGGCAUCUCAGUUGUUGGCAUUCAGAUUUCCUGCUGGUCAGGUAGUACUACUGAUUAUCUGCAUCUCUCUUUCACUCCCUCCAUGUCAUCCCAGGCCUUUCUUCACUGAGGAGGCACUUCCUAGAUAUGGAGUAAAAAUCGAAACUGUGGAGCAGCAGCCAGGGCAGCCAAGCUGGGAGAAUGGAAGGACUCGGUAAUCAGGAUCCAGUACUGCCGCUGAUUAGAACCUGGGAAGUGGGGCACAUUCUGCCCCCAGGAUGCAGCAAACCCCUUCCUAAGCCAUUCUGUCUGUGCUGCUCUGCAUGCUGACACCAAUCAACUUGCAAGUGAGCAGUGCUGUCAGCGCUGGAUAUUUUCUCCUCCAUUGUCACUGGUCUAAUGACAUCCUCUGGUUUAUGCACUUUUCUCUCCAACACCACCAUAAGCUAGAAUAACUCACUCAGUCUGGGUGUUAGGCACCUCUCCAAUAAUUCAUGCCAAGUAAAGGAAAUCCCUAGACUUAAGGACAAAUAGAGUAGCAUAUGUACAGAGUACUAUGCAGCCUCCAUGUGUAAACUUUCCAUUUAAUAUAACGAAAUAAAGCAUUUCAAUGUGCGUGGUGCCUUUUUUUCUUUUUUUGCAGAUAAAGAAGUAAUUAGGGACAAGAGAUCCUAGUACAAUAGGACUAUUAUUCCUGAAAUCACUAUGCAUGCAAGUGGAAGUUUUAUCUAUGUUGGUGGAUUUCAGAGUCUAGAAUGCUAUGGGAGCUUAACAAAUGAUUGUUAAUUAUUUUUUAAGCACAAGUGU